CUUCUCACUGAAUUGCUCUGAUUGGCCU
rnacentral:piRNA from 1 species